UAGAAAGCAAAUAUAGCACUUAUGAACAAUGAAACCCGGAAGAAUCUUUUUGCCGUUGGAAGCGUGGGAGAUGUUGAUUCUUCCGAUGUGGGACGCGUAGGGUUGGGUGUGAGCUUUGAAUCCCGAGCACACGAGAGUGGUUGAGCUUGAAAUCGCUUGGGAGACUUGUAAGCACUUUAUUUCCUUUCUUGAAUGCACUCACUCUCUUGAGCUUUUCUUUCUAACUUCUCUCUUGAAUGAUUUUGCUUUUUGGUUGGUUAAGAGUUGUUGAGAAGCACUUAAGAGCUCCCUUUUAUAGCCCAAAAAGCAAAUAUAGCCGUUAGAGAUAAAGUAGAGAAGAUUUGAAAUUCAAAUCAAACCUGAAAAGCUGUCAGUCGCGUCCCAGGCGCUCCAGGGACGUCUCCGCUACAACGAGAGACGUCUCGCCUACAGGAUUUUACUUUUUACUUUAUCUGGGGUCGACUCGGCACUUUACGGGGACGUCUCGGCGUGUUAGCGCUUUUUGAGUGGGGACGACUCCGCUGCUUUGGGGACGACUCCGCUUCUUUAUCUCCGAAAAUCAUGUCCUCUGGAAUUCCCUGAGAGAGUCGACUCCGCUCUUUCAGGGGACGUCUCCGCUUGUCUGCACUUUAUGCGUGGGGACGACUCCGCUUUCUCAGGGUCGACUCCGCUUCCUUAUCACCGAAAAAAAACAUUCUCUGAAAAACCCUGAGAGAGCCGUCUCCGCCAUCUUGGGGACGACUCGGGAAGUCUCCUUUUUGCUUGCGGGGACGACUCCNN
rnacentral:lncRNA from 1 species